AUGCACACGGACCAUUCACAAAGAUAAUCAAUGCGAGCAUUAUCUGAGGGAUACCUUGCAUGUAUAAACAACAGGUUAUAUGGCUCUAAAUCUAACAAUCCUCAAAAGUUUCAGCAAUUAACCAAAAGACCUAUGAUUACAUAAUUCUCAUUCAAAACAAAUGAGAUUUAACAAAGAAGAAGAAGAAGAAAAGUUACCCCUGUCCGCUGACUUCUACAGUGGUACUCUCCAGAUUGUUCCCUUUCUUUGGCUUUUGCAAAAAUCCAUUCAAUCUCUCAACAUUUUCUCAUUUUGUCUCAAUCAAAUCUUGUCCUAUCGAUGCUUUUCUAAUCGCAAUUGCAUUUUAUAGGAAAACAAAUGAGAAGACAACCGUCGCUGCUUUUCUCUCGGUCUCUGGAGUCUGUGAACAGUGGAAAAGUAUUUCUUCGCUGGCUAUUCAAUAAGCACGCGGGAGGAGGAAAUAAAGCCAAAACGACGUCAUUUGGCGGUUUGGGGCCAGAUUUCCGUUGGGCGGAAAAGCUGGGCCAUGAGCUUUAGAUGAUUUUGUAUAAUUCUAGAUUGAGGUUUGGGCCUAAGAAUUUUAUGAAAUGGGUUUUAGAGCGGGAGAUUUGGGCUUGUUAAGCGUGUGGGUUAAUGUGAUGGAAA
rnacentral:lncRNA from 1 species